rnacentral:rRNA from 1 species
GACGAACGCUGGCGGCGUGCUUAACACAUGCAAGUCGAACGGAAAGGCCCUGCUUUUGUGGGGUGCUCGAGUGGCGAACGGGUGAGUAACACGUGAGUAACCUGCCCUUGACUUUGGGAUAACUUCAGGAAACUGGGGCUAAUACCGGAUAGGAGCUCCUGCUGCAUGGUGGGGGUUGGAAAGUUUCGGCGGUUGGGGAUGGACUCGCGGCUUAUCAGCUUGUUGGUGGGGUAGUGGCUUACCAAGGCUUUGACGGGUAGCCGGCCUGAGAGGGUGACCGGCCACAUGGGGAGUGAGAUACGGCCCAGACUCCUGGGGGAGGCAGCAGGGGGGAAUGUGGCAAAAGGGGCGGAAGCCUGAUGCAGCAACGCCGGGUGGGGGAUGACGGCCUUCGGGUUGUAAACCGCUUUCGCCGGUGACGAAGCGUGGGUGACGGUAAUGGGUAAAGAAGCCCCGGCUAACUACGU